rnacentral:rRNA from 1 species
AACGAACGCUGGCGGCAUGCCUAACACAUGCAAGUCGAACGAGACCUUCGGGUCUAGUGGCGCACGGGUGCGUAACGCGUGGGAACCUGCCUUUAGGUUCGGAAUAACCCAGAGAAAUUUGAGCUAAUACCGGAUGAUGUCUUCGGACCAAAGAUUUAUCGCCUUUAGAUGGGCCCGCGUUGGAUUAGCUAGUUGGUGGGGUAAAGGCCUACCAAGGCGACGAUCCAUAGCUGGUCUGAGAGGAUGAUCAGCCACACUGGGACUGAGACACGGCCCAGACUCCUACGGGAGGCAGCAGUGGGGAAUAUUGGACAAUGGGCGAAAGCCUGAUCCAGCAAUGCCGCGUGAGUGAUGAAGGCCUUAGGGUUGUAAAGCUCUUUUACCCGAGAUGAUAAUGACAGUAUCGGGAGAAUAAGCUCCGGCUAACUCCGUG